GACGAACGCUGGCGGCGUGCUUAACACAUGCAAGUCGUACGGUAAGGCCCUUUCGGGGUUACACGAGUGGCGAACGGUUGAGUAACACGUGAGUAACCUUCCCACAACUUUUGGAUAACGCUAGGAACCUGGUGCUAAUUCUGGAUAUGUGCUCCUGCUGCAUGGUGUGGGUUGGAAAGCUCCUGCGGUUGUGGAUGGACUCGCGGCCUAUCAUCUUGUUGGUGGGGUAGUGGCCUACCAAGGCGGCGACGGGUAGCCGGCCUGAGAGGGUGACCGGCCACAUUGGGACUGAGAUACGGCCCAGACUGCUACGGGAGGCAGCAGUGGGGAAUAUUGCACAAUGGGCGCAAGCCUGAUGCAGCAACGCCGCGUGCGGGAGGACGGCCUUCGGGUUGUAAAAAGCUUUCAGCAGGGACGAAGCUUUUUGUGACGGUACCUGCAGAAGAAGCACCGGCUAACUACGUG
rnacentral:rRNA from 1 species